rnacentral:rRNA from 1 species
GAGUUUGAUCGUGGCUCAGGACGAACGCUGGCGGCGUGCUUAACACAUGCAAGUCGAACGGGCAUCUUCGGGUGUUAGUGGCGAACGGGUGAGUAACACGUGGGGCAACCUGCCCCUAGCUCUGGGAUAACUCCGGGAAACCGGGGCUAAUACUGGAUAUGACUGGCCUGCGCAUGUGGGUUGGUGGAAAGUUUUUCGGCUAGGGAUGGGCCCGCGGCCUAUCAGCUUGUUGGUGGGGUGAUGGCCUACCAAGGCGACGACGGGUAGCCGGCCUGAGAGGGCGACCGGCCACACUGGGACUGAGACACGGCCCAGACUCCUACGGGAGGCAGCAGUGGGGAAUAUUGCGCAAUGGGCGGAAGCCUGACGCAGCGACGCCGCGUGGGGGAUGACGGCCUCGGUUGGUAACCGUACUUUCUACGCAGGGACGGAAGACGUAAGUAGACGGUACCGUCG